rnacentral:rRNA from 1 species
CCUACGGGAGGCAGCAGUGAGGAAUAUUGGUCAAUGGGCGAUAGCCUGAACCAGCCAAGUAGCGUGAAGGAUGACUGCCCUAUGGGUUGUAAACUUCUUUUAUAUGGGAGUAAAAUGCAGUAUGUAUACUGCGUUGCAGUUACCGUAUGAAUAAGGAUCGGCUAACGCCGUGCCAGCAGCCGCGGUAAUACGGAGGAUCCGAGCGUUAUCCGGAUUUAUUGGGUUUAAAGGGAGGGUAGGCGGGUUGUUAAGUCAGUUGUGAAGGUUUGGGGCUCAACCGUAAAAUUGCAGUUGAUACUGGGAUCCUUGAGUACAGGAGAGGUAGGCGGAAUUCGUGGUGUAGCGGUGAAAUGCUUAGAUAUCACGAAGAACUCCGAUUGCGAAGGCAGCCUGCUGGACUGUAACUGACGCUGAUGCUCGAAAGUGUGGGUAUCAAACAGGAUUAGAUACCCGAGUAGUC